rnacentral:tRNA from 1 species
CGGACGCAAUCAAACAUGUCCACUGGCCCAGAGUUGUUAUCACAAUGAAGAUAUUGCCA